rnacentral:lncRNA from 1 species
UGCACAAACAACAAACACAUUUCCAUUACACCAAACACAUUUUCCAUUACACGAAAGACAUUUCUAUUUCAACAAAAUGAAACAAAAUACAUUUACAACCACCAAAAUAGCAUCAUAACAACAACUGAUACUAUAUUCACAACUUCAAGCAAAUAAAAACGAAAAUCAAAACCCUAAGUACUUAUGCAUAAAAACUUGUGCAUUCUAGCUUUAGCUACAUGUCGAAGACCUUCUUCAAGCAUGUUUCUUCUCCUCAAUACCACAUGAAUGAUUUCCAUGGAUCUAGGGCACAUCAAUGGGUUAACAUAUCCAAUGAAUGGGAACUUCGAUCCAGAUUUCGAGCAGGUCCAGAACCUUCGGCCUGCAUUGUUGCCGGUCCACGAUGUCAGAAAUAUUGCUCCUCGACCGAAGAAGCAAACUAUCAUCAUUGUCCUCUUUGUGUUCUUUAAAGGCACGGUUGUUCUAACCUUUGGAGAAGAAAGUGAGAGUUGGAGAAGAAAGAGCUCUAAAAAAGAGAUAACGAUAUGGCAUAUGAUUUAAAUUAGUGAAAUGGAACCAUGCUUAUUAACGUUCAAUUUUACCCUCACAUGCUAUGCACAUGAGGGGCUUUAACGACAAUUUAAUGACGCCGUCUGAUAGAGGGACCUUUUAUGUAAUAUCGAAAAAUCGUAUGGACCGACUUUAUCCAUUUUCUUGAAGCUGUACUAUAUGUGUUUAUUUCAAGAUACCAUAGGGACCAUUUAUGUAAUUUUGUCCAAAAUUUAAAAAGAACUACGUCGAUCAUAAAAAUCAGCUAUUCGUAUUUCCGUCUCAUCUUUCGAUGGAAGCUGCCGCCAAAACUUCGGCAUCAUUCACCUUGUCCUGGAGACGUCGGAUUCUGUUUUCGGUAGUCUCUAGAGCACUUGCAGCAGUUAGCCGGAGAGAUGGCACCGUGAACCGCCGUAUCCUCAAAUUCAUAGACUUCCGGACCCCGGCGUCGUCCAAACCCAUCAACGGCGUCA